GCAGAAGGCGAGCCUCUACAAUGGGCUCCUGUGUGGCUUGCCAACAACAAGCACCGGCUAUUUUGCACAGGGCUCUGCUGACUGAAGUGAUCCCCACGGCCUGAGUGGAAGAGAGGAGGGAGAGGAAGCCUCAGAGGGAAGCUGCCGAACACUCACGCACACACACACACACACACGCACCAGCACACACUCACUCAAACACUCACACAAUGUCCCUCUCAGUCCUGGGUUGUGACCGGCCCAUGGCAUUGGCCAGAUGCCUCUCAAUUGAAGGACGCUUUUCCGUCGUCACCCUGCAUCCAGCGGCCUGAGAGCGCUCCCCUGUCGAUGUACUUGGCUAUAUCUGCCUCUGACCUGUCUGCCAUAUGUAAUAUCAAAGCCUCUGUCAGCGUGGAGCUGAAUGGGAACAAAAGAGAGGCCUCCAUUAAUGAUUAACUGUUCUAAAAGCCCCGGCUUUUGUAUUCCCAUGGUGCCCAGGCUAUCUGGCCACCAUGUGACAUGCUCACAGCAUUUUUCGAGCAGAUUGGGGGAAAGCUAGUGAGCAAACACAGGUGCUUUGGAGCAGCGUUGCCGACGCUGUCAGGGACAACCACAAACAAGAGCAGCUAUGCCUGGCUAAAUGAAUCCCCACCCCUCCCAACACCAGCCAUCACCACCUCCACCCCCCCGAACACUCUCCGUCGCUAGCUAACUUGUUUGCUAGCUCCCUAUAGCUUUCUCCCCGCAAAGCCUUCCUUCUGGAGAGACCACACGUCAGCCCCCCCCAACACACACACACACACACACACACACACACACACACACACACCAACAAGUCCAAUGUCCGCCACAGCCGCAGCUCCACAACUUCUCACACCCUCCAAGGAAACAAAUAAAAGUGAGUACGGCCGAGCACUUCUUUGAGGUGAUGGCAUUUGCUGUGGUCAUGUCUAGUGGGAGAGCAAACAAAUUAAUGGUGUUCCAGUUUUCACUUUCCAAACCAAACUAAAUGUCUUUUAGCUCAAGUGGGGCAAUUCCACUGACCCUGGUGUCAAACGCUGUAUAAGGGUUGCACACUCUUGCACUUAAAACGCUGAGAGGAGGCCGUAAGAAAAUUAAACAGGACUCGAGUAUCGGCUUACAUCUCGAAAUGACCCGUGUGACAAAUAAUUCUUGUAUAAAUUGAGUGUGUCAUAAACACUCAUGGUUUAUUUUUUUGUAUGUAUGUGACCACAAACUUUACCAAGAGCUGUAUGGAGCACUUAACCUUUUCAUCCAGGCUGACUGAUAAUUCAGAGUGACUGUGGCUGCUGUGUAGCUUAACUUUGAUAAGACAAUCAGAUGAUAGGAUGGUGUUAUCUUAACACGGCUUUCCGGCUGGGGGACAAAUGAACAGUGUGUGAUAACAGGAACAAAAGCUCGGCUUUUAUUCGCCAGCUGAUCCAAGGAAAGGAAAAAAUUAUCAGUAUGGAAAAUUCACAAUAGGCGCAGUUUUUAUUUUUCAAUUUUCUUCUCAGCCCGGGUCACAGGAGCAGCGUAUUUCUAAUCACUCAAAUAUUUAUAUUGUGCCUUGUUCACGUUUUGGUUUCACCAUCAGCAAUUUCCCUCGCCUAUAAAGCAGCUAUUAUUACUGGAAAGAUGAUAAAGAAUAUUUUAAAGCAAACAGUUUAAAUCAGAUGGACAGGAAAUGAAGCUGUAAAAGGGAGACAGACAGAAACAGGAGGAAGUGAGUGAAAACAUAUACUGUCCACAUGUUUAGAGAGAAAUUGAAAGAUGGAAAAAGGUCAGAAGUUGUGUCUUUAGAGACCCGCUCCUGAUCAGUAAAAACACCACUUCUGUCUGGGUUUUCUGACUUUUCGCAGCCCAAUUCUCUGAGUCAGAGAGGGGUCUGUAUACUCAGGGAUUCACUCAAGGGUUUGUUUGCUCUAUUGCCAAAAAAUGAUUGGAAAAAAUAUUGGCGCCCUGGCGGGAAAAUGUUAGAACUUUCUUAAAACUAAAAGACCAU